rnacentral:rRNA from 1 species
GAUGAACGCUGGCGGCGUGCCUAAUACAUGCAAGUCGAGCGAACAGACGAGGAGCUUGCUCCUCUGACGUUAGCGGCGGACGGGUGAGUAACACGUGGAUAACCUACCUAUAAGACUGGGAUAACUUCGGGAAACCGGAGCUAAUACCGGAUAAUAUAUUGAACCGCAUGGUUCAAUAGUGAAAGACGGUUUUGCUGUCACUUAUAGAUGGAUCCGCGCCGCAUUAGCUAGUUGGUAAGGUAACGGCUUACCAAGGCAACGAUGCGUAGCCGACCUGAGAGGGUGAUCGGCCACACUGGAACUGAGACACGGUCCAGACUCCUACGGGAGGCAGCAGUAGGGAAUCGUCCGCAAUGGGCGAAAGCCUGACGGAGCAACGCCGCGUGAGUGAUGAAGGUCUUCGGAUCGUAAAACUCUGUUAUGAGGGAAGAACAAAUGUGUAAGUAACUAUGCACGUCUUGACGGUACCUAAUCAGAAAGCCACGGCUAACUACGUG